CAGAAAGUUAGUCUAAACCAAGAC
rnacentral:tRNA from 1 species